rnacentral:rRNA from 1 species
UACAGAGGUGGCAAGCGUUGUUCGGAAUUACUGGGCGUAAAGGGCGCGUAGGUGGCCUUCUUAGUCAGACGUGAAAUCCCCGGGCUUAACUCGGGAACUGCGUCUGAUACUGGAUGGCUUGAAUCCGGGAGAGGGAUGCAGAAUUCCAGGUGUAGCGGUGAAAUGCGUAGAUAUCUGGAGGAAUACCGGUGGCGAAGGCGGCAUCCUGGACCGGCAUUGACGCUGAGGAGCGAAAGCCAGGGGAGCGAACGGG